GAUCCCAGACUGUCUCUGAUAUGGAGGUGGAUGGAGUCUAGUCAUCUCCAACCCUUACUAAUGUCUUCUUUACCGGUGUCCCAGCCUCUGUUGUAAAACCUACUGAGAUGGUUCAGAUUAUUUUAAGACUCCAGCAGAAGCACAGAACAUGAUGGUUGUGUCUAUAAACCAAAAACAGAUACUUCAAACCUGGACCAGAGUCUUAGGGAAGCUUCAUCCUUCAUCUGGUGAAGACCUGCUAGCUGGAUCUUCACAGAAAUGAACCAACAGCAUGAUCUGAAGAGUUUAGUGACCUCUUUGAGAUCCUGAUUUAUAAAUGAAUCCAGGAUUUCUGGCCUCCAAACAGAACUCUGGUCAGAACAUUCAGCAGAUGAUUCUGUGGCUCAGAAGAACCAGUCCUGCAGUCAGUUAGCCGUUUGUGACGCAUGAUCGGGCGUCGUCUGAGUGUUUCAGAAUGAAAUCACCAGAAGAGACAUGAGCCCAGUGUUUCUCUGAAGGCCUCCUCCUCCUGUUUGUUUGGUAUGGGGCGUCGCCAUGGAAACCUGUACACCAGCAGGUGAGGAGGAGGAGGAAAGUCCUUUUUCUUUCUCCAACCAACAGAGAGAAAAAGAUCAGAAUCACCUGGGAACUCUUUCUGCUUCCUCUGAUCCAGUUGCAGAGGAGUACUGGUGGUUUUGGUUCUGAGUGAGUUCAGGUUUAGGUCCAGAGGAAAGAGCAGAAUGAAUUCAGCUCCAUAAACUGUUUCCAGAUCAGCUCAUUAAGCAGUACAAGACACUGGCGUGAACAGGAGCCAGGCCAGGAUUCCUGUGUGGUGCCGUCAUGUGCAGCUGGACGUCCCGCGGGGUCCAGCUCAGGUCAGGACGGGUGGAGACUCGAGCUGCUCCGGAGAUCGGAUCUGAGUUUCCAUCCUACAGGAACCGGUGUGGACCGGUCCGGAGGCUCAGGUGAGUUCUGAUCCACAGCUCGACCAUAAAGAGAGUUGGUUAGAUACUAAUCUUGCUCUGGAGCGGGUUUUUCCUACAUAAUUUAUAUAAAAUAACUAAAAACAUUUGUGUCUUCAUCACUUUGAGGUGAAAAUAGUAAUGUGUCUUCUGGAAAACCAAAGUUUUAAUUUACAGAAGUUUGUUUUUAUCAGAAUCUGUUGACGGCAGACAAUGAAACCAGUGGGAUAAGUUUUUAGGACGAUUCAAAAUAAAAAUAUUAAUGAUGAUGUGAUUCCUGUUUCAAUUUUAAGAAAUAUAAACACAUGAAAAGAAAGCAGCAGGAAAUGACUCCACUUGUUUUAAUAACAGCUGAUGCUGAAUCCACUUCCUGUCUGCUAGGCAGAUCCUCAGGGUUCAUAAAUUAUUUUACAGGCUUCACACAAACACCGUUCCCAGAGCCUCCUUUAGGGAGAUCCAUCUAAAACUGUCUUGUAAUGUCCCAUUUAUCUUCAGCUGCCUCCUUGCUCCUCGUGCUGGUGAGAUUCGAUGGGCUCCAGGUCUGGCGGCUCCUCCAGCGCCCCCUGUUGGACAUGCAGGAUGGACACCAUGCCGGUCAGAAGGGCGUAGCUCAGCAUGGCGCCCAGAGCCACCAGAGCCGACAGCAGCUGCUUCCUGCGUUUGUUGGGAACGUUGUCGAAGUCUCCACCAUCCGGCUGGGGGGGUGCCUUCGGACCAGAGCUUUCUAUAAAAGACAUGAAGGUUCAUCAGCUGUAAAACCUAAACAUCAACAGCAGGGUUCACAGAAAAGUCAGCAAGCAGAACGGAGGAUUAACUUUUACUGACGAACUAGAUGGAAAACAUCAGAAUCUGGAAUCACCCAAUAAUAAGCCAUGUCCGUUUCCCACCUGAUCAUCAGGACAAACCUAACGUUAUUAAUAACAUUUCAACUUAAGCACUGGGCAACAUUUAACAUAACUCUCUGACAGGAAUCACUGGACGAACAUCAGAACUAAUACCAACACCGUCUUCAUGGCUUCUGGUGAAAACAACCUCACCUCGGCCAUCUCUGGGGAAGUAAAGCAGCAGGAUGUCGGAGCAGAAGUUGGUCAGGUUGUCGAGAGACUUCAGGUGUUGCUGCAGCUUCCCGUUGGGAAGUUUACACUUCAGGAUGGGAGCCAGGUGACCGAACACGUAGGCGUCAAGAGACGAAGGUCUGCAGGGAAACAGUGCAACGGUUAUCUCACUCAGGAACAGAGAUCCAACCACACCAGUACUGACAUGACCUCUGGUCUGCUGAAUAGAGAACUGAAGUGAUGUAAUGAUUUUAUUCAAGUAGGAUUCCAGCUGGAACUUUAUUUUCUAAAUGUUGUAAACCCAUCUGACUGCAUGUUUAAGCAACAAUAAGCUGAUAAUGUUUGAAUCAGAUGGGUUCUGUUCAGUGAUGAUGCAGCUCUGGCUCACCCCUUGAGUUAGGAGCUUUAUUCUGUCUGAAUAAUUCAGAGGUCAGGGACUUAAAAAACAAAACCUCUGAGAGGUUCCUGGUACCAAAGCUAAAGCUAAAUCAGUCAAAGCCCCCAAAACCUCCUUCAGAAACUCUGCAGAACUGACUAAAACUACAAAAAGAGAACUAGAUCUGAGGCUGUGGACUGGAUUGGGAGUUCGGAACCAAAUGGGAACCAGAUCAGGAGUCCUGAACAGAAUCAGGAGUUCUGGGCCAGAUCAGGGCACUCAUUUAUCAAAUAUUAGAAACUGCUUUAUAUUUCUUCCUACGAAGGAAAUUUAGAAUGUGUACCAACUGUCAAAAACCUGAUUUAUGAAAACCUCGUACGCACGUUCCUCCGCAACCGUCUGAUGAGAAAUCCCUCCUGUGCGUACUCAGGUGCUUGUGUCCGUUCUCAGUCAUUUACAUACACAAACACCUUCAAUUAACCAUAUUUGGUCACGCUAUGUCCUCAGCACAUGAGGGAAUUCCCAGUUUUUUGCCCAGAAAAAUAAGAAAAGCUUUAUUGACAGCGAGAUCGAGACACUGGCUGCCGAAGCACAAAAUAACUAAACAAGUUGCAGAGGUUAUAAAUGCGGUUGGGACAGAGGAGAGGUUCCUUUCAGAAAUAAAUAAAAGAAUGAAUCUGAUAAAUCGUGGAGUAAUGGGUUGUUAAGGAAUCAUUCUGAGAGUGCAGCCUCUUCUGAGCCGUCAUUCAGUCUGGUUACCUUGGCAACGCGGCAUGUAUGAUCGGGAGGCAGGGGAGGUUCUGGAGGGUUCUCGUAGUUGUAUCAGAUUUGAGAGCCACAAAGGGUCCCAAAUCACAGCAUUGCAGAAGGAUUUCCAUUGAGAUCAGUGCUCUCAUGGAGGAUGCGUUGCCUCAUGGUUGCCUCAAGUGUGCACGCUCUUUUAAAUCUUCCAAUAACACAGAUUAUCCAUAAAUCAGAUUCCCGUCUGCCA